AGUACAUCCCAGUGUGACCCAGUACAUCCCAGUGUGACCCAGUAUGUCCCCCUGAACUAUUGGUGGUGCCCCAGUGCCUCCCAGUGCCUUCCCAGGAGCUCUCGUGGACCUCCUGGUGCCACCUCGAGGUUCUCAGACACUUCCCCAUCCUCUCUAAAGCCGUACCAGUAUGUCCCAGUAUGAACCAGUACAUCCCAGUAUGACCCAGUAUGUCCCCCUGGACUAUUGGUGGUGCCCCAGUGCCUACCAGUAGCUCUCGGUGCCUUCCCAGGAGCUCUCAUGGACCUCCUGGUGCCACCUCAAGGUUCUCAGCCACUUCCCCAUCCUCCUUGAAGCUGUACCAGUAUGUCCCAGUAUGACCCAGUACAUCCCAGUAUGACCCAGUACAUCCCCUGGACUAUUGGUGGUGCCCCAGUGCCUCCCAGUAGCUCCCAGUAGCUCCCAGUACCAUCCCAGAAGCUCUCAAAGCCCCACUGGUGCCACCUCGAGGUGCUCAGCUGUUUCCCCAUCCUCCCUGCUGCCAUCCCAGUUCCUCCCAGUAGCUUCCAGUGCCCUCCUGGUGCCGCUCCAGCGUCUCCCAGUAAGGUCCAGUGCCCUCCCAGUGCCCCUCGGUAUCUCCCAGUGGCCCCUCGGCCCCUCCCAGUUCCUCCCAGUCCCGUCAGAGCUGACUCACUCCCCAGUACUUCCUCAAUACUGGGCAGGGCGGCACCUCCCAGUUGUUUCCUGUCUGUCCCAGUUGCUUCCAGUCUGUCCCAGUUGCCCUCAACCCCACCCCAGCAGCUCCCAGUGCCCUCCCAGUGCCCGUCAACCCCCUCCCAGCGCCCACCAGUCCCUCCCAGCCCCAAACCAGUCCCUCCCAGCCCCCCCCAGUCCCUCCCAGUGCCCUCCCAGUUCAUCCCAGUGCCCACCAGUGGACUCAUCGGCAGCUAGGAUGCCCUUGCCGGGGGCCACGAUGCGCCGGGCGAUGUCGGCGAGCUCCUGCUUCUGCUCGGGGGUGAGCGCCGGGUACUGGUGCGGCAUGGUGGUGGCACUGGGGACGAGAUGGGGACAGCGUCAGGGGGACACCAGGGAACCCGGGGAGAACGUCGGGGACCCCAAGAACAUUGGGGACCCCAUGAGGAACCCAUGGGGACAUCGGGGAACCCCAAGAGGAACAUCAGGAACCCUACAGAGAACGUUGGGGGCCCCAUGGAGAACCUCAAGAACCUCAUGGAGAACUUUGGGGUCCCCUUGGAGAACCCAUGGGGACAUCGGGGACCCCAUGGAGAACCCAUAGGGGACAUUGGGGACCCCAAGGAGAACAUUGGGGACCCCAUGGGG
rnacentral:lncRNA from 1 species